rnacentral:rRNA from 1 species
AUUGAACGCUGGCGGCAUGCUUUACACAUGCAAGUCGAACGGUAACAGGCCUUCGGGUGCUGACGAGUGGCGAACGGGUGAGUAAUGCAUCGGAACGUGCCCAGAGGUGGGGGAUAACGCAGCGAAAGCUGUGCUAAUACCGCAUGUGAUCUGAGGAUGAAAGCGGGGGACCAAGCAGCAAUGUUUGGCCUCGCGCCUCUGGAGCGGCCGAUGUCAGAUUAGGUAGUUGGUGGGGUAAAGGCCUACCAAGCCGACGAUCUGUAGCUGGUCUGAGAGGACGACCAGCCACACUGGGACUGAGACACGGCCCAGACCCCUACGGGAGGGAGCAGUGGGGAAUUUUGGACAAUGGGCGCAAGCCUGAUCCAGCAAUGCCGCGUGCGGGAAGAAGGCCUUCGGGUUGUAAACCGCUUUUGUACGGAACGAAAAGGCUCUGGCUAAUACCUGGGGCUGAUGACGGUACCGUAAGAAUAAGCACCGGCUAACUACGUG